AGGUGACCGUAUAUUCCUAGCUCCUUUCCAGAACUUACUUCAACAAAAGAUGAAGGAAUUGGUGGUGUUAAGACUUGGGUGGAAGGUGAAGUAUUUGAAGCUUCCAUGUGAAAGGCCUUUGGACUAGAAGUGAAUUACACCACUGGCUUUCCUGGUUCUUCAGCUUGCAGAUGGCAUACUGUGGGACUUCUUGGCCUCCAUA